UCUGACUUCCUGCAUUUGUUUUCAAAGAUAUAUAUCAAUUCUUUCUUCCUUUGAAAGCCAUCAAGAAAAACAUAUCACCGCCUCACGCUAUUAGGUUUCAGCUCGUACGUUUUCUUCACGCGACCCUACCUAUCACUCUUAUGGCAUCCACCACCGACAAACCCAGCGCCUCCACCGCAGAAGCAAACCCUGGGAAGACCGUUGACGCACCCUCACCUUCAACGUACAAGUCAGACCCUCCUAGCAAUCUCACUCAUCCCGAUGCUGAACUUUCUGUGAAGGAGAGCGAGGAUUCGAAAACCUCCGGUACUGCUGCGGCCUUGGUUGCAGGGGAAAGCGGCGGUCCCGUGGACGAUGUCCAGAAGAAGAUUCGACGAGCUGAGCGAUUCGGCUUACCCGUCCAGUUAUCUGAGCAAGAGAAGCGUAAUUCUAGGGCUGAAAGGUUUGGCACUGCACCGAGCUCAAAUGGAUCAGAAGCAUCUAAGCAAUCAGAGGAAUUGAAGAGGAAGGCUAGAUCAGAGAGGUUCGGGAUUACUGCACCCGCUACAGCUACUGAUGAGGAGAAGAAGGAAGCUCGUCAUGCCAGAUUUGCACCAUAUUCCAAACCUGAUUCAGUAGAAGAAGAAAAAAGAAAAGCAAGGGCAAUCAGGUUUUCGAAUCCUGCUUCUAGUUCUUUAUCACAGGAGAAUGGCAAGGGAAAUCUUGAGCUAGAGGCUCCUAUUGAUGGAAAGGCUGGUGGAGAAAUCUAACUAGAAAUUGCCACAUAGUUAGAUGGUCUAAUGUUCUAACAGCUUGUGAUUCCCUCAACGGCUUCUUUACAAUGCUUUCUUUCCAACCUCAGAAUUCUUAGAUGCAGCAUUCCUUCAUCCCCAAAUAAAUUCUAAAGUAGUGAACUCUUUCUGCAGUAUGGAAGUGAACAGGUUUUAGGUGAGUGCUAGCUUCCCUCGGUCUGACCUUGUGAAUUCACUGAUCUGCAAGGUAAAUAUAUAUGCUGGGAAUGAAGGCUGUGUAAUGUUUUCUCGGUGUUUUUGUUAGUCAUGUAAUAUGUAUUUUUGGUUCACUACAAAUUAACAGUAGGAGCUUCUUUGGAAUCUGUUUUUUGGUUGGAUAUACUUUUACGGUAACGGGAGACCGGUUAAAUUGGGGGAAUUAAAUUGUCUAACGUUUUGUU